rnacentral:rRNA from 1 species
GAUGAACGCUGACAGAAUGCUUAACACAUGCAAGUCGAUGGGGAAGUGGUGCUUGCACCAUGGUAACCAUGGCGGACGGGUGAGUAACGCGUAAGGAACUUGCCUGCGGGACUGGGAUAACAGCAGGAAACUGCUGAUAAUACCGGAUAAGGUCAUUAAGCUGCAUAGCUUAGUGAUGAAAGGAGACGCCUGCGGAGAGCCUUGCGUCCUAUUAGCUAGUUGGAGGGGUAACGGCCCACCAAGGCGAAGAUAGGUAGCCGGCCUGAGAGGGUGGACGGCCACAAGGGGACUGAGAUACGGCCCUGACGCCUACGGGAGGCAGCAGUGGGGAAUAUUGGACAAUGGGGGCAACCCUGAUCCAGCAAUUCUGUGUGCACGAAGACGGUUUUCGGAUUGUAAAGUGCUUUCAGAAGGGAAGAAGGAAGUGACGGUACCUGCAGAAGAAGCGACGGCUAAAUACGUG